GGGGAUGACUUGAUUCGAUAGAAAGUACAUUUAAAAAUUGCCAAUCGAGCAAUUUCGGCUAAUCUCGUAAAAAUUGCCGGAAAAAUAUAAGUGCAAACACACUUGUAAGCAAAGUAGCUUCUCUUUUUAGAGUUCCUGCUUUUGCGACAGCUGCUGUCUAACUUUAGACCGGCAGCCAUCGAAUUGCCCAAUCUUGAUAAGCAAACUUCGGUGUCAUACAUCAAGAUAGGAUCUUGCGCCGCUUAGCCGCAAAAAUCCGAAACCUCAGCCAAGCUCGAAUUUAUAAGAUCUUGAUUAUUCAAUACUUAUAAAUUUUAAACGAAAGAAUAAUCUAUAUUGGUAGACGACUUUUAAAUUAACUCUCUAGACGCGGGUUCAAUUCCCGCCAUCUCCACUU
rnacentral:tmRNA from 1 species